rnacentral:lncRNA from 1 species
GGGUGUGGGGAGUGGGACAAAAAAGGGGAAAGGAAAAUAAAAAAAAUUCGGGCAAAGUGGAAGGCUAAGAAAAAAAACUACCUUCCACCAAAAAUUCCAGCACAAGCAGACGGCUGAAAAAUUCGUGCAAGCUGAACCCCCCCCCCUGGCACUUUUCUAAUAGUUGGCCCCUAACUUUACAAUGUUAAGCAAUAAUAUAUUGCAAAUAUAUUGAUUUUUAGUGGAUGGAAGAUUGCAUUUAGAGAUUUUUGCAAACUUGUCUUCUCCAAUAUCAUUUACACCCCGUUCCAUUGUUCAAUUCUAAGAUUACAUGCACUGCACAAGUAAAAACGCAAGUUGUUAUACGGAUCUGCAAACAAGUUGUAACAAGGUUGUUGUCAAGCCGUCAUCAUGCGCGAUGUUUGUUCCCAGUUGUUGUGACAAGUCUGGAACAAUAUGUUAUCACCGUGUUACAAGGUUGAUGACGGUAACUGACUUCUUCCAACAAGAGUAAUACA